GAUGAACGCUGGCGGCGGGCUUAACACAUGCAAGUCGAACGGAAAGGCUCCUGCUUGCAGGGGUACUCGAGUGGCGAACGGGUGAGUAACACGUGGGUGAUCUGCCCUGCACUUCGGGAUAAGCCUGGGAAACUGGGUCUAAUACCGGAUAGGACCACAUUUUGGAUGGUGUGGUGGAAAGUUUUUCGGUGUGGGAUGAGCUCGCGGCCUAUCAGCUUGUUGGUGGGGUAAUGGCCUACCAAGGCGUCGACGGGUAGCCGGCCUGAGAGGGUGUACGGCCACAUUGGGACUGAGAUACGGCCCAGACUCCUACGGGAGGCAGCAGUGGGGAAUAUUGCACAAUGGGCGCAAGCCUGAUGCAGCGACGCCGCGUGGGGGAUGACGGCCUUCGGGUUGUAAACUCCUUUCGCUAGGGACGAAGCGCAAGUGAUGGUACCUGGAGAAGAAGCACCGGCUAACUACGUG
rnacentral:rRNA from 1 species